rnacentral:rRNA from 1 species
AGUAACACGUAGGAACCUGCCGCGUCGAGGGGGAUAACGCUGGGAAACCGGCGCUAAUACCGCAUGUGGUCACGUGGAAACGCGUGAAGAAAGCAGCAAUGCGCGACGUGAGGGGCCUGCGGCCGAUUAGCUAGUUGGAGAGGUAAUGGCUCACCAAGGCGACGAUCGGUAGCUGGUCUGAGAGGAUGGUCAGCCACACUGGGACUGAGAUACGGCCCAG